GAUGAACGCUGGCGGCGUGCCUAAUACAUGCAAGUCGAGCGAACGGACGAGAAGCUUGCUUCUCUGAUGUUAGCGGCGGACGGGUGAGUAACACGUGGAUAACCUACCUAUAAGACUGGGAUAACUUCGGGAAACCGGAGCUAAUGCCGGAUAAUAUUUUGAACCGCAUGGUUCAAAAGUGAAAGACGGUCUUGCUGUCACUUAUAGAUGGAUCCGCGCUGCAUUAGCUAGUUGGUAAGGUAACGGCUUACCAAGGCAACGAUGCAUAGCCGACCUGAGAGGGUGAUCGGCCACACUGGAACUGAGACACGGUCCAGACUCCUACGGGAGGCAGCAGUAGGGAAUCUUCCGCUAUGGGCGAAAGCCUGACGGAGCAACGCCGCGUGAGUGAUGAAGGUCUUCGGAUCGUAAAACUCUGUUAUUAGGGAAGAACAUAUGUGUAAGUAACUGUGCACAUCUUGACGGUACCUAAUCAGAAAGCCACGGCUAACUACGUG
rnacentral:rRNA from 1 species